UCCCUGAUAGCUCAGUUGGUAAAGAAUCUGCCUGCAAUGCAGGAGACCCUGGUUCGAUUCCUGGGUUGAGAA
rnacentral:tRNA from 1 species